CCCUAAAAGUCCUUUAAACAC
rnacentral:tRNA from 1 species